UGGGGAAUAUUGCACAAUGGGCGCAAACCUGAUGCAGCCAUGCCGCGUGUGUGAAGAAGGCCUUCGGGUUGUAAAGCACUUUCAGCGGGGAGGAAGGCGGUGAGGUUAAUAACCUCAUCGAUUGACGUUACCCGCAGAAGAAGCACCGGCUAACUCCGUGCCAGCAGCCGCGGUAAUACGGAGGGUGCAAGCGUUAAUCGGAAUUACUGGGCGUAAAGCGCACGCAGGCGGUUGAUUGAGUCAGAUGUGAAAUCCCCGGGCUUAACCCGGGAAUUGCAUCUGAUACUGGUCAGCUAGAGUCUUGUAGAGGGGGGUAGAAUUCCAUGUGUAGCGGUGAAAUGCGUAGAGAUGUGGAGGAAUACCGGUGGCGAAGGCGGCCCCCUGGACAAAGACUGACGCUCAGGUGCGAAAGCGUGGGGAGCAAACAGG
rnacentral:rRNA from 1 species